CCACUUCACAUUAAAAUACUGGCUCCUGUAUGAUCACUGAAGUUAAGCAUUGUCAGGCCUGGUCAGUACCUUACUGGGUGACCACUGAGGAAUACCUGGCACUGUCAG